rnacentral:rRNA from 1 species
GACGAACGCUGGCGGCGUGCCUAAUACAUGCAAGUAGAACGCUGAAGAGAGGAGCUUGCUCUUCUUGGAUGAGUUGCGAACGGGUGAGUAACGCGUAGGUAACCUGCCUUGUAGCGGGGGAUAACUAUUGGAAACGAUAGCUAAUACCGCAUAACAAUGGAUGACACAUGUCAUUUAUUUGAAAGGGGCAAUUGCUCCACUACAAGAUGGACCUGCGUUGUAUUAGCUAGUAGGUGAGGUAACGGCUCACCUAGGCGACGAUACAUAGCCGACCUGAGAGGGUGAUCGGCCACACUGGGACUGAGACACGGCCCAGACUCCUACGGGAGGCAGCAGUAGGGAAUCUUCGGCAAUGGGGGCAACCCUGACCGAGCAACGCCGCGUGAGUGAAGAAGGUUUUCGGAUCGUAAAGCUCUGUUGUAUGUCAAGAACGAGUGUGAGAGUGGAAAGUUCACACUGUGACGGUUGCUUACCAGAAAGGGACGGCUAACUACGUGCCAGCAGCCGCGGUAAUACGUAGGUCCCGAGCGUUGUCCGGAUUUAUUGUUGCGUAAAUCGAGCGCGGCGGUUUGAAAAAUCUGAAGUUAAAGGCUGUGUCUCAACCAUAGUUCGUGUUGGAAACUGUCAAACUUGGUGCAUAGGGUAGAGUGGAAUUCCUGUUGUAGUGGGUGAAAUGCGUUAUAUAUGGUGUGUACUGUGUGUCGAUAGGGUGUCUUUGUUCUUGAUUUGUUGUUGAGUGUGGGAGGUGGGGGUGUGUGAGUUGUGUGGUUUAUAUGUAGUGUUUGUGGUGUGAUGCUGCUAGUGGUGUUAUCUGUUGUGGUUGUCGUGUGUGCUUGGUGUGGGGUGCCCUAAUGAUAUGAAAUAUUAAAUAAAAUAUGAUGUGUGUGUGUUU